rfam:Arabidopsis thaliana chromosome 1, complete sequence.
GAAUAAGAUUCUUACAUCUUGAUGAAGAGGAAUGGGAAGCCGAAAUCUAAACUGAAACAGAGGCGUCACCCAAUUAUCAAUUGGUAAGUGAUAUCUAUGUUUCGAUCUGUAUCUCGGCCUUUCACUCCUCUUCUUCUUGAUGUAAGAAUUUGUUAUUC